GUGCUCAGUUCUGCAGCACAAAUACUAAAAUUGGAAUGAUAGAGAGAAGAUUAGCAUUGGCCCUGCUUGAGGAUGACAUGUAAAUUUGUGAAGUGUUCUGUAUUUUU
ensembl:snRNA U6 U6 spliceosomal RNA